rnacentral:miRNA from 1 species
UUAGCAGGUUGUAUUAUCAUU